rnacentral:rRNA from 1 species
AUGAACGCUGGCGGCGUGCUUACACAUGCAAGUCGAGCGAGGCCAGGGGGCAACUCCCUGAGUCGAGCGGCGGACGGGUGAGUAACACGUGGGUAACCUACCCGGAAGUGGGGAAUACCUCGGGGAAACACGAGCUAAUACCGCAUGACAUCUUCGGGACGAAAGUUCUGACGAUCAAAGCGGGGUCGCAAGACCUCGCGCUACCGGAUGGGCCCGCGCCCGAUUAGCUAGUUGGUGAGGUAACGGCUCACCAAGGCUCCGACGGGUAGCCGGACUGAGAGGUCGAUCGGCCACAUGGGGACUGAGACACGGCCCCAACUCCUUCGGGAGGCAGCAGCAGGGAAUCUUGCGCAAUGGGGGCAACCCUGACGCAGCGACGCCGCGUGGGUGAUGAAGGCCUUCGGGUCGUAAAACCCUGUGACCAGGGAGGAGAAAGGACAGUACCCGGUCAGCAAGCCUCGGCUAACUCCGUGCCAGCAGCCGCGGUAAGACGGAGGAGGCAAGCGUUAUCCGGAUUUACUGGGCGUCAAGGGCGCGUAGGCGGCCUGACAGGUCGUGGGUGAAAGCCCCGGGCUCAACCCGGGGAGGUCCCGCGAUACCAUCAGGCUUGAGGAUCGUAGAGGGGGGCGGAAUUCCCGGUGGAGCGGUGGAAUGCGUAGAUAUCGGGAGGAACACCCGAGGCGAAGGCGGCCCCCUGGGCGAUACCUGACGCUGAGGCGCGAAAGCGUGGGGAGCAAAGCGGAUUAGAUACCCGCGUAGUCCACGCCCUCAACUCUGAACCCUAGGUAUGGGGGGUACCGACCCCUCCCGUGCCGACGCUUACGCUUUAAGGGUUCCGCCUGGGGACUACGGUCGCAAGACUCAAACUCAAAGGAAUUGACGGGGGCCCGCACAAGCGGUGGAGCGUGUGGUUUAAUUCGAUGCUAAACGCAGAACCUUACCCGGGCUCAAAGGACUGGUGGUACUCGCCUGAAAGGGAGGGGGACCCGCAAGGGAGCCAGCCCAGGUGCUGCAUGGCUGUCGUCAGCUCGUGCCGUGAGGUGUUGGGUUAAGUCCCGCAACGAGCGCAACUCCCGCCGCCAGUUACACUCUCUGGCGGGACAGCGGCGCAAAACGCCGAGGAAGGUGGGGAUGAUGUCAAGUCAGCAUGGCUCUUACGUCCGGGGCUACACACACGCUACAAUGGGCAGCGCAAAGGGUCGCCAAGGCGCAAGCCGGAGCUAAUCCCAUCAAAGCUGCUCUCAGUGCAGAUUGGCGGCUGCAACCCGCCGCCAUGAAGCCGGAAUCGCUAGUAAUCGCCGAUCAGCAUGUGGCGAUGAAUACGUUCCCGGGCAUUGUACACACCGC